CCUACGGGAGGCUGCAGUAGGGAAUCUUCCACAAUGGGCGAAAGCCUGAUGGAGCAACGCCGCGUGGGUGAAGAAGGUCUUCGGAUCGUAAAACCCUGUUGUUAGAGAAGAAAGUGCGUGAGAGUAACUGUUCACGUUUCGACGGUAUCUAACCAGAAAGCCACGGCGAACUACGUGCCAGCAGCCGCGGUAAUACGGAGGUGGCAAGCGUUAUCCGGAUUUAUUGGGCGUAAAGGGAACGCAGGCGGUCUUUUAAGUCUUAUGUGAAAGCCUUGGGCUUAACCGGAGUAGUGCAUGGGAAACUGGGAGAGUAGAGUGCAGGAGAGGAGAGUGGAACUCCAGGUGUAGCAGUGAAAUGCGUAGAUAUAUGGAAGAACACCAGUGGCGAAAGCGGCUCUCUGGUCUGUAACUGACGCUGAGGUUCGAAGGCGAGGGUAGCAAACGGGAUUAGAUACCCUAGUAGUC
rnacentral:rRNA from 1 species